rnacentral:rRNA from 1 species
GACGUAGGGCGCGAGCGUUGUCCGGAUUUAUUGGGCGUAAAGAGCUCGUAGGCGGCUUGUUACGUCGUUCGUGAAAACUUGGGGCUCAACCCCAAGCUUGCGGUCGAUACGGGCAGGCUAGAGUUCGGUAGGGGAGACUGGAAUUCCUGGUGUAGCGGUGAAAUGCGCAGAUAUCAGGAGGAACACCCGUGGCGAAAGCGGCUCUCUGGGACGGUACCGACGCUGAGACGCGAAAGCGUGGGGAGCAAACAGG